GUUUCUCUGCCCUCCCUUUUCUUUCUUGGAGGACUUUGGACGUCUCCUCUCCACCCUAACCCUAAUGCUUCCAAGAGAAAACCCUAUCCCUCCAUUUCACUUUCCCUCUUUGGUCUUGUCUGCGGGCUCGUUGGAUGGAAUCACUUCUAGCUAUCACCAUUGAAGACUUCCCAAUGUCUCUUUGCUUGCUCUAUUCAACAUGGAGGAGGUAUUAAGAGACUUUGGAAGCUAGCAUAGCAGAGUAAUCAAAGAUCUCUCUCCCGCUUGUUAGGUUUUUGGAAGUAUUUUAAAAGAUCAUUAGAGGCUCUAUUUCCUUCAUGGUUUUGCAGGUCCCGAGAAGCUGUACGAACAAUGCCAUCCCAAUGAGCUUCGAACUUAUAUAUUUGUUCACCAAUGCUAGGUUUCCAUUUCAGAAUUUGAACAGUUCUGCCUACUUUAUUGGUUGCUAUUUCUUCGGGAACUGGAGAAAAGGUGAUAUAUGAUCUGAUUGCUGUUAUGCGUGAUCUUUAUAUGUAACUUGUAUCUUGAUCUCUUUACUUUUAUAGGUGCAGAUUUAAGCCAGUGUCUCAAUUUGGCCGAGAGAAAUACCACCGUUGAAACCGUGAUCUCUGCGGUUGCACCUCAAAAAAGGUUUUGUUUCUAUGCGUAAAACUUUAUUGUUACUUAAAUUUGAUGUCUUAGACACUAAAGAUAGUUUAUGAUCAUAGGCACCUUCAUACAGUGUUUAUACUUAUAGGAAAAAAAAGAUUUGUGCUUCUGCUUAUUUUUAAGGAU
rnacentral:lncRNA from 1 species